ensembl:lncRNA
GUUGCAUUUUAUUACUUAUCCAUAUAUAGGUUAAUCUUGCAGAGGUAAUUACGUAGGCAUAGGACUGACUACGUAAUGAAAUACUUAAGGGUUUGUAUUUUAACACAGUUCUGUGUGGGUUUUUUUUGUUUUUUUUUUUUUUUUUUUUUUGUACCUGGCUUAAAUCUAAAUCUUGUGCAUUGACUUUUUUUCACUCAUAAAGCAUCAUGUUGUGCUUUAAAAAACUGCUAAUGGAAAGUGAAGGAACACUGCAGUAAGUCCUGGCAAACUUUAGUCAUGUCUUAGACAUGAAUCAAAGUAACUGCUUACUUAGAACAUAUGCAUGCUAACAUUCAAGAAUUUAGUUUUUGCAAAUAAUUCAGGUUGGCAUCUUGUUCUUACCGAACAUCUUUUUCUUGUGUGAUAGAGUUUUUGUUCAUUUUCACUAACUUGAGUACUGAUAUUUUUUGGCUUCACAUGUAACUCAGAAUCUUCUCCAACAAAGGUCAUGUAAAAUAUGUUUUUUCACUAAUGCAGAGCAGGUAGGUUUUACUGAUCUAUAAUUGUCUUUGUGGGUCAUACUCACAGAAGCACUGGUCACAGCCCCUAGAUCUGUCUCAUCUGCAUGGUUCAUUCACCUUUUUAACUUAAAAAAAAAAAAAAAAAAAAGAAAUUGAAACAGUUUGUCAAAAAUCUGCCCUUCUGUGACCUUCUAAAUAAUGGUUUCACUAUUAAAUACUGAUAGCAAUAUAAUAUUAGUAAGAAAUGGUUGUAAGCAGUUUCCACUUUUACAACUCUGAAUAUUGCCCCAUGCUUUGUAAAUCUGUAUAUAUUCAGAUAUCAGGCUGUUUCCUCUAGGAACUCUUUCUUGGCUUCAGUCUUCAGGCCACUUUUCACUGGGACAGUAAAUACAUGUCCAGUUGGAAGUCUGGCCUUCCUUUCUUCUGAUUCCUUCCAUCUACCCUCCAAAAAUAAGCCAGACGUGACUUCUAUCCAGGAAAAUCAGAAACUCUGACAGCAAAAAAAAUCAUCAUCACCACCACCAGUGACUACAUUGGAAAGUCAAUUUGCAGGUUAUUUAACAAACAUUUAUGUGACUGGGAAGGGAGAAGUCUAUACUUAAAAGUUGCAUUCUUGGAAGUAGCUGGUAUUUUUAUUACAGCAAUACACUGUGUACUUUACUGUUGUUUGACUGGAAAAAUGGGAAUGAAUGCUAUGAUAUGAGAGUUCUUUUUCCAAUUAAAAAAAAAUCUUUGCAUAUUUUUUACUGUAUUUUUUUAUU